rnacentral:sRNA from 1 species
CGAAGAUUCACACGGACUAUGGCAACACUAUCAAAGCUUUGAGAAGCAAGAAGAAGCUUGUUUAGUGUUUGGGAAUCACAAUAACUUGAUGUCAUGCGUAUGAUUGA